GACGAACGCUGGCGGCGUGCUUAACACAUGCAAGUCGAACGGAAAGGCCUUUUCGGCGGUACUCGAGUGGCGAACGGGUGAGUAACACGUGGGUGAUCUGCCCUGCACUCUGGGAUAAGCCUGGGAAACUGGGUCUAAUACCGGAUAGGACCGCACUUUAGUGUGUGUGGUGGAAAGUUUUUUCGGUGUAGGAUGAGCCCGCGGCCUAUCAGCUUGUUGGUGGGGUAAUGGCCUACUAAGGCGGCGACGGGUAGCCGGACUGAGAGGUUGGUCGGCCACAUUGGGACUGAGAUACGGCCCAGACUCCUACGGGAGGCAGCAGUGGGGAAUAUUGCACAAUGGGCGCAAGCCUGAUGCAGCGACGCCGCGUGGGGGAUGACGGCCUUCGGGUUGUAAACUCCUUUCGCCAGGGACGAAGCGUUUUGUGACGGUACCUGGAGAAGAAGCACCGGCUAACUACGUG
rnacentral:rRNA from 1 species